AAAAUUUCUUCGAAAUUUAUAUCUGAUGUAGUCGAAGAUGCCGAAGAAAUCGAAUAUUGAUCGCAUCGACGAGCAGGUUUAGCAGACGUACCGGAAUCAGAUGGCAGCGGCGAAUCGAUUUUGGCUGGAACAGCAGCUUUUUCAUCAUCAGAGCUCGAUUCAGACAGAUUUAUCUCAGGAAUGGCAAUCGCUGGCAUCGACGCUGGAGCGGAGGAGCUGUUGAAGUUCAGAAGCAAGCUGGGAAUUACGUUCGUGCUGAUUAUUCAUCGCGAUAUUCAUCUCAGUGAGCUGAGCUCUGGUAGCGUUAUUGAUGAUAAGGCGAAUGCUUUCGGCGAUUGGUGAUUUUUGAACGACGAUUUCACGUAGCGCUUUGAUAUCAAUAUUCGCGACGCACUUUUUGAACGGACAAGUGAUUAAUACCGCAGGUCCAGUGGCACCGGACGGAGGAACAGCGAGCGAACCGUCACAGAAAGGGCAGACAGCUAUGGAGAGCUCACAAGUAUGAUCGAUUUCCGCGUUAGCCAUAACAUCGACGAACUAAUUAGAAUCAAUAGAAAAAAUCACCGGAGUCUCGAACAAAUAAACGGCUUGAGUAACGAACGAACUGAACGAAGACAUACGAUCCUUACGAAGAAUAAAUUACUUAUGAAGACAGAAUCAGUACUUGCGUAAAUUCUUGGUGCAGAAAAUGGCCUAAAAGGCUGACUGUGGAAGGGAUUAUCUCGCAAAUAUCUUGUUAAAUGUUGGGUAAAGGGAGUAGAAAGCUAUCUGCGAUAGCUGUAGAUUAUCGCUAGAUGUCUGGCAAAUUCUAUAUUUAAUCCCUUAUCUGUUGUAGACAGCAUUGUUAGAAUAAUUGCAUUUUAGAAGAUAUAUUUG